CAAGCCCUGGAGGGAACUGAGGGGGUUCGCUACAGGUGGGACACUAGGGGGCCCAAGCAGUGAGCAACCAGCUUGCAGCGCAAAAGACCACCCAAGAAGCCAUAUACCAUGGGAGGAGGGAUCCCCCCCGCAGUGGAGCUGAUAAACCACCUCCAGAGAAGGGACUCAUCUUUUCUAUGUCCUAGGGACCAAGCCCUGAAAUGACAUAACACAAAUGGUCUGCUGAAAUUAUU